rnacentral:rRNA from 1 species
CAGAGACUGCAAGCGUUAUUCGGAUUCACUGGGCGUAAAGGGUGCGCAGGCGGCCAAGUGUGUGAGGCGUGAAAGCCCGGGGCUUAACCCCGGAAUUGCACCUCAAACUACUUGGCUAGAGCAUUGGAGAGGGUAGCAGAAUUCACGGUGUAGCAGUGAAAUGCGUAGAUAUCGUGAGGAAUACCAGAGGCGAAGGCGGCUACCUGGACAAUUGCUGACGCUCAGGCACGAAAGCGUGGGGAGCAAAAGGGAUUAGAUACCCCUGUAGUCCACGCCCUAAACGGUGCACACUAGGUCUUGGCGGAUUCGACCCCACCAGGGCCCAAGCUAACGCGUUAAGUGUGCCGCCUGAGGACUACGGCCGCAAGGCUA